rnacentral:rRNA from 1 species
GACGAACGCUGGCGGCGUGCUUAACACACGCAAGUCGAACGGAAAGGCCUGCUUUCCCUUGUGGAUUGCGGGUACUCGAGUGGCGAACGGGUGAGUAACACGUGAGUGAUCUGCCCCCAACUUGGGUAUAAGCCUGGGAAACUGGGUCUAAUUCCCGAUAGGACUGCAGGGUGGUGCCUGUGGUGGAAAACGAUUUUCUAGUGGUUGGGGAUGAGCUCGCGGCCUAUCAGCUUGUUGGUGGGGUAAUGGCCUACCAAGGCGGCGACGGGUAGCCGGCCUGGGAGGGUGGACGGCCACAUUGGGACUGAGAUACGGCCCAGACUCCUACGGGAGGCAGCAGUGGGGAAUAUUGCACAAUGGGCGGAAGCCUGAUGCAGCGACGCCGCGUGGGGGAUGACGGCCUUCGGGUUGUAAACUCCUUUCGACCGCGAGGAAGCCACCUGGUUGGAAGGGUGGUGACGGUAGUGGUAGAAGAAGCACCGGCUAACUACGUG